rnacentral:ncRNA from 1 species
UUAAAGUUUUAUUUUGGCUUUUAGAUUAAAUUAUUUUUUUAAUUUUAUAUGUAAAUUUUACUUAAAUAAUAACGAGCAGUAUUUAGUUUUAAUUAUUUAAGAGAUUAAGAAUUAGGGAUAAUAUUUGGUAUAAACAAAAUUUGUGCCAGCAGUUGCGGUUACACAAAUUAUAUGAUUUAAUUAUUUUAAUAUUAAUUAAUUUGUUAAUAAAUUUUUAAUUUUAAAUUUAUUAAGUGAAAUUUUAAAUUUUUUAUAAAAUUUAUAUUAGUUAAUGAAUUAAGAAAUUUUCUUUUUAAACUAGGAUUAGAUACCCUAUUAUUAAAAUUGUAAUUUAUAUAUUGAAUUAGUAUUAGUUAUGGUCUUGAAAAUUAAAAAAUUUGGCAGUAUUUUAAUCUUUUCAGAGGAACCUGUUUUAUAAAUGAUAAUCCACGAUUUUAAAUACUUUUAUUUUUAAUUUAUAUAUCGUCGUUAUUUAAGUAUUUUAGAAGAAUUUUAAUAUUUAAAAUUUUUAAUUUGAAAAUAUCUCAGAUCAAGGUGUAAUUUAUAUAAAAGUAAAAAUGGGUUACAAUAAAUUUAUUUAAGGAGUGUUAUUUUUACAAUAUUAUGAAUAUGGAUUUGAAAGUAAUUUAAAUAAAUUAAUUUAAAUGAUUUAGCUCUAAAAUAUGUACAUAUUGCCCGUCGCUUUCAUAUAAAAUGAAAUAAGUCGUAACAAAGUAGAUUUACUGGAAAGUGUAUCUAGAAACAA